rnacentral:rRNA from 1 species
CUACGGGCCGCAGCAGUGAGGAAUCUUGCGCAAUGGGGGAAACCCUGACGCAGCGACGCCGCGUGGGUGAUGAAGGCCUUCGGGUCGUAAAGCCCUGUCGAGAGGGAAGAAUUGCAUUUAGGUUAAUAGCCUAAUUGUUUGACGGUACCUCCAAAGGAAGCACCGGCUAGCUCCGUGCCAGCAGCCGCGGUAAUACGGAGGGUGCAAGCGUUGUUCGGAAUCACUGGGCGUAAAGGGCGUGUAGGCGGCUGAGUAAGUCAGGUGUGAAAUCCCUCGGCUCAACCGAGGAAGUGCAUUUGAUACUGCUCAUCUUGAGUACUGGAGAGGGAGAUGGAAUUCCCGGUGUAGAGGUGAAAUUCGUAGAUAUCGGGAGGAACACCAGUGGCGAAGGCGAUCUCCUGGACAGAUACUGACGCUAAGGCGCGAAAGCGUGGGGAGCAAACAGGAUUAGAUACCCUGGUAGUC